AUUGAACGCUGGCGGCAGGCCUAACACAUGCAAGUCGAACGAGUGGCGGACGGGUGAGUAAUGUCUGUGAAACUGCACGAUGGAGGGGGAUAACUACUGGAAACGUUAGCUAAUACCUCAUACCAUCGGAUGUUCCCAGAUGGGAUGCGCUAGUAGGUGGGGUAACGGCUCCCCUAGGCGACGAGCCCUAGCUGGUCUGAGAGGAUGACCAGCCACAAGGGAACUGGGCAAGGGUCCAAACUCCGACGGGAGGCAGCAGGGGGGAAUAUUGCAAAAUGGGGGAAAGCCGGAUGCGGCAAUGCCGGGUGUAUGAAGAAGGCCUUCGGGUUGUAAAGUACUUUCAGCGAGGAGGCGUUACCCGCAGAAGAAGCACCGGCUAACUCCGUGCCAGCAGCCGCGGUAAUUC
rnacentral:rRNA from 1 species